rnacentral:tRNA from 1 species
GGAGAGGUGGCUGAGUGGCUCAAAGCAUCCUCCUGCUAAGAGGAAACGGGUAGUUAAUACCCGUCGAGGGUUCAAAUCCCUCUCUCUCCGCCU